AAGUGAAGUCACACAUGGCGUACGUCCAACGGUGAUGCUGGUUUCAAGGUCUCAGUGGAAUCACUCCAUACUACAAGAGUCAAGGAGAUCAACUAUGAUGGAGAAGAGAUAUAUUAAGGGUAGCAGUCAUUAAAAUGGGAUAAAUUAAUCAUAAAAAUACUUUUGCAAAUGAUGCAGUUAUGUAUGUAUAUGUAAAAUACACUAGAAUACUCACAUACACCAUAGAUAUUAGAGACUACGCAUACACAUAUAUGUAUUUAUUUGUAGGAGACCUUCUCUCUCUCAGAAACUAAGUGAAUUAGCUCAACUUGUUGACUUUAGAGAAGAGAGAACUGAUGAUGAUAAUGGCAGACUGAGAAGAAGGAAAGAAGAAACAAGAGGAGGGCCCGAGUUUCUGGUCCUACAACUAAGAAACCAAGUCAUCGCUGGCCAUGGGAAUUCACACACUCAAAACUCAAGCAAGCAUUGAGCCAUUGACUGAAGUUAGUGUACUGUCUGAUGUGUUACAAAUUGUUCAUAAUCAUCAUCAAUACUUGUCACUGGAUCCAGUUUAUGUUAAUAAGAAAUACACAUUACCGCCUUCAUAUCAAUACCAAAUUAAAAAGAAGCGUAUUGGUUCACAUUUAUGGUGAUCAGGAUCUAUUGGUGAAUGAGUAUUAUUGCUAUCACUUGACUAUGAUGUUAUAAGAGAACUACGGACCUUGAGUUAUUAAAACUAAGAUUUGGAGAGAGUAACCUCCAUUAUUGUGAAGUGAUGAUUAAAGACCCUACAUUACUAGGUCAUGACGAGUGGGUGGGUCAUCGAACUUUAUCGCUAUAAAAAAACUACUCACAAGUCGCGUAUCUUGUACAGGUUGAUAUGGGAGGAGUACCAGCAAAACUGGUUAAUAUUGUGUCAAGACUCAGCCAUUAGCAGUUGCAUAUUUACGUGAUUAUUUAGAAACAACUAGUUUAAAUUCAA